rnacentral:rRNA from 1 species
CUUUACUGUAACUUGAAAUUGAAAUUGGACUUUAUUUGCGCAGUAUAGGUGGGAGGCGUUGAGAAUAUUCUUGCGGGAAUAUUGGAGCCAUCAGUGAGAUACCACUCUUGUAAUGUUAGAUUUCUAACUUUGGAUCAUUAUCUGGUCAAAGGACAGUUUCAGGCGGGCAGUUUGACUGGGGCGGUCGCCUCCCAAACGGUAACGGAGGCGUACAAAGGUUUCCUCUGAACGGGUAGAAAUCGUAUCUAGAGUGUAAAGGCAUAAGGAAGCUUGACUGUGAGACCUACAAGUCGAGCAGGGACGAAAGUCGGUCUUAGUGAUCUGACGGUGCUGAGUGGAAAGGCCGUCACUCAACGGAUAAAAGUUA